AUUAAAGCUGUUGGCUGUAACUCAGCAUGCUCUGACAGCAUAUAUAAGACCAAGUAGUAAAACCAAAGGAGGGGAAAUGGAAUUAUCCUUUGUAAGAGGGAACUUUUCAAAAGGCUGUGGAUCGGUUUGACAGUCCAAACAGCUGAUCAGUUGUUUUGGGCUUUUAAAAAGGGACCGACAUCAGCUGGAGUAGUCUCCACAGGGGAGACGGAAGAAAAUCUCAUUGACUGAACCCACCCAAAACCUGAUUUUUGCUCCGGAAGAAGCCUGACAACUCACUUUCCAAAUGAAUGCUCAAGGCCAGGCGCAGAGUGUCACAUCCUUGACUUCCAUCUCAGACAGGAGCAAUGAGAGCCAAUAGGCGCGUGUGGCGAUGUACCCACAAUCAGGACACUGUGAAACGGAAACUAGAAACACUGGUGUGUGUUCCCCUCAAAAGCCAAAGUUCACACGUUGCUAAGCCUAUAAUUUUGUCUCUGGACAGGAUGAGAUAAACUCCUUUCCAGGAAACAUGAUUCACUUUUGAGGUGGAAAUGUAUUUAAAGAGUUUAUCUUGGUACCAGAAUCCUCAGCCAGCAGGAAUUCAAAGAGCUACAGUCCAGGCUCUGUGUGUAAUUUAAUGGCAUCCUCUAUUGAUUUUUGAUCUCACUUGAGGCAGAAAAAGACCUUGAUCCUUGCAACUGCAGCUGUUUUAUCAUCUGAAAAAAAAGACAUACAGACAGGCCACAACUUAAAGUCUGCCUGCUGUUCAUGAGUCCAUGAUCACUCCAGAGGUGGAUUUUUUUAAUUAAAAAAAAAAACAGUUGCAAAGAACAUGUUACGUACAUGGAUAGAAUUAAAAUAGCACACCUAAGAAGUCCUUGAGGUAUUGUAAAUACAUCUCAAUUUGGCCAAUUUGGCCUUUUUGGUCAAAAAAAGAACAUUUAUCUUUUUUGAAGCUAAGCACAGUAAGAUGGAAAUUAGACUGAUUUCCUGUAUCCACCAAGUGGGAAUCCUAUUUCCUGGACAAAGUAUAUGCAUAUACACAACUUCUUUGUAUGUACAGUGUGCCUAUGCAAUCUUCUGGUGGGUUGUAUAGUCCUCUAUAUUUCUAGAAAUUGAACCAUCAUUUCAGAAAUGCUAUUGUCAUUUUAAGGAAACAUGAGGAAAAUAAAUUUGAUAUCAUAUUCUACUCUCCUCUCCAAAAAUACUAAAGAUUUUUCAAAACAGAGAGAACAUGUUCACACAUUUUAAACAUUAUUCUGGAAUGAAGACAUUAAAGGUAUUAUUUCAUUAUAACAAAAACCUCUUAGAUAAAAUAGGAUGAGAGGGGCUAUAGUUUGUUUUGGUAGAAAAUUACAAUUCCUAUCUGGAUACAAUGUGCAAUUUCACAAAGGGGUUACUAGGAUAUGAGCUUAAAAUUGUUGAUGAACAAGUUACUUACUUAGGCAAUUCCUCAUUGUCAGAGUAUGAUGGCCUUCCAAAUGUAGGGUUUUUGUUUUUUUUUAAGAUGCCUGUGCAUGAGUUUUUUAAAUGCAUGGAGGUUGGUGCACAGCCAAUCAACACACAGUCUUCACAGAGUGAGGGUCCCAACCAGUGGCAUGGUUAACAUGAUGACAACGGCUUCUCAAUCUGUUGCAGCCUUAUUCCGCCUUCACAGCCGUUGUAACAUAUACCAUGCUAUCUUCGUUCGUGACUGCCUUUCCCCCAGGGGAGGCUCUCCUCUCAUGCCGUCCAACAUCACAGGUUCAGUUGGUGGGGAUGAGGGAGAGAGCCUUCUCUGUGGUGGCCCCUCGGCUCUGGAACUCCCUCCCCAGAGAGAUUAGGCAGGCCCCAACCCUGUCUGCUUUUAUUAAACAACUUAAGACAUGGUUCUUUCAGCAUGCUUUCAAUUAAAUAAGACACUACAGACCCCUUGACAACCAUUCUGCUAUCCUGCACUUUAUCUCUGGUCCCACCCUAUCCUAACCCUAACGUCAUCUUAGGAAACCUUGGAACAUUGACAAGGCACUUUUUGGAAUAACCUAGUUAUUACGUACUUUGCUUUGACCCUGCUUUAUUCCUUUUGUCCCUUUGGUGGUGAAACUGAUAUUGUUUAAAAACUUUUUGUCUUGUAUUUAUGUAUAAACUGUGCUUGAAUUUGUUUUUGAUUUUAUACUGCUUGUUAUUUUAUUGUUCUGUUUUGUAUUUUAACUUGUCUACACUUUUGUCUUUUCUGGGCUUAGCCCCAUGUUAGCCGCCCCGAGUCCCUUUGUGGAGAUACAAAGAUAAAUAUUUUAUUAUUAUUAUUAUUAUUAUUAUUAUUAUUAUUAUUAUUAUUAUUAUUUAUUCCGCCUGAUCCACCAUUGAGAUCUUCAGGUCUUCAGAUUGUGCUUGGUCUGGAACCUCUGCUGCGACCCCUCCUGGGGGUACAUGUCUCCAAUGGUUACGCCCACAGGUUCAUUGGAACACACAAGCCCCCUCACCACGACAAGGGGGGAGGGGGACUGUCAUCUUGUUACACUUUAUUAAUUGCACUUUGAAAAAGUUGCGAAUAGAGAUGUCAUAUUCUAGUUACCUAUAUCCAGGAAAUACAUUUUUCAGAGUGUAGAUGCAGUCUGAAGGAGUUUUCAUAUUUACAAAGUGGGCUUAAAUCAGGUAUGGGCAUGUAAAGAAGUGUGUGUUUUUGUUUUGAUUUAUGGAUGACAUGUUUGUUUGAUUUUGUUUUAGAAGUCAUGUUUGGCUAAGUUUAAAAUGGGUAAGUAUUUGAGUUAAUAAUAAAUGGGUGAAGGUAACCAGCUCAGCAUUCUGAGGCAGGUUACCAUAGCAACGGGGGCGGAGCCAACCGCUGUUUGGAAAAGAAAAGGAGGGAAUGUUUUAAACCCAGGUCAGUCUGUGAUUAUUAGUCACAGGGAAGACACUGGUUCCAAGUUUAAGGAAACCAGGGAAGUUAAAAUCUUAGUCUGUGAUUUUUAGUCACAGGAGAUAGACUGGUUUCAGGAUUAGGGAAACCAGGGAGCAGACCUCUAAUACAGCCAGACUAAGCAAGUUGGGUGACUUGUUUAGGGUUAAGUGUAGAGGCUGUGAAGUAAAGGGAAGUGAUCCCAGUAGAUCCAAGUGAUCGGUUUAUAGUUUGGUUUUGAGAGAAGAAAGUAUUUUGAAAGUUAGAACACCUCAACAUCUAUUUGUAACAGUUAUUUAAGUGCCUUAAAGAAAUUAUUGAAACCACUAAGCUUUGUGCAUGAAAUAAACUUGUUUUGUUCUUUAAACCA